AACGUAGGGCCCGAGCGUUGUCCGGAAUCACUGGGUGUAAAGGGUGCGUAGGCGGGCGUGCGCGUCUGGGGUGAAAGGCUCCGGCUCAACCGGAGACAUGCCCUGGGUACGGCACGUCUUGGGUGCGGGAGAGGGCGAUGGAAUUCCUGGUGUAGCGGUGAAAGGCGUAGAGAUCAGGAGGAACACCGGUGGCGAAGGCGGUCGCCUGGCCCGCAACCGACGCUGAGGCACGAAAGAUAGGGGAGCAAACAGG
rnacentral:rRNA from 1 species